AUUGAACGCUGGCGGAAUGCUUUACACAUGCAAGUCGAACGGCAGCACGGACUUCGGUCUGGUGGCGAGUGGCGAACGGGUGAGUAAUGUAUCGGAACGUGCCCAGUCGUGGGGGAUAACGUAGUGAAAAUUACGCUAAUACCGCAUACGAUCUAUGGAUGAAAGCGGGGGAUCGCAAGACCUCGCGCGAUUGGAGCGGCCGAUAUCAGAUUAGGUAGUCGGUGGGGUAAAGGCCCACCAAGCAAACGAUCUGUAGCUGGUCUGAGAGGACGACCAGCCACACCGGAACUGAGACACGGUCCAGACUCCUACGGGAGGCAGCAGUGGGGAAUUUUGGACAAUGGGCGAAAGCCUGAUCCAGCCAUUCCGCGUGCAGGAUGAAGGCCCUCGGGUUGUAAACUGCUUUUGUACAGAACGAAAAGGUUUCUACUAAUACUAGGAGCUCAUGACGGUACUGUAAGAAUAAGCACCGGCUAACUACGUGCCAGCCGCCGCGGUAA
rnacentral:rRNA from 1 species